UUAUCUUCCUGGAUUACAUCACCGGUGUUAAUAAUGUCUUGCUAGUUCUGUCACCUCGGAUAUGAUUCAUAUCCGGGAAGGACCUGUUGAAUCCUGGGGGAUUUGCGCUUAUGAGGCGGAUAAAUCCUUAAGGACAGUGCGAUCAGCACGCCUCAGGUAUUAUUAUUUCAUGGUUUACUAUUCUCCCUAUUUGAGACUCGGUGGUUUCUUACUUCGCGGUGGUGC
rnacentral:lncRNA from 1 species